AAGAAGCAAACCCUAGAUUUCCGUGUCUAACUUUGACUGUCCGUUUUAUAUGAAAUUUUUUUAUAAUUCGUAUUUUUAUUGUUGUUAAAUGAUAAAACAUGAUUAAUAUUUUAUGCGUGACUUGUCUUUUUAAUUUUUUUUCAUAUUUUUUUUAAAUAAGACGGACAGUCAAACGUUGGACACGGAAAUCAGGGUUUGUCUUUUU
rfam:Oryza sativa Japonica Group DNA, chromosome 3, cultivar: Nipponbare, complete sequence.